rnacentral:rRNA from 1 species
CGGUGAUCCCGCCGGAGGUCACCGCUAUUGGAAUCCGCUUAAGCCAUGCGAGUCGAGAGGGUUCGGCCCUCGGCAUAAUGCUCAGUAACACGUGGACAAUCUGCCCUCAGGUGGGGGAUAAUCUCGAGAAAUUGAGGAUAAUACCCCAUAGGCCCUGACUGCUGGAACGCUUCAGGGCCCAAAGCUGCGGCGCCUGAGGAUGAGUCUGCGGCUCAUCAGGUUGUAGUGAGUGUAACGGACUCACUAGCCGACAACGAGUACGGGCCUUGGAAGAGGUUGCCCGGAGAUGGACUCUGAGACACGAGUCCAGGCCCUACGGGGCGCAGCAGGCGCGAAAACUUCGCAAUGUGGGAAACCACGACGAGGGGAUUCCAAGUGCCCAUGGUUUCCAUGGGCUGUUUCAUUGCUUAAAAGGCAUAGAGAGUAAGGGCUGGGUAAGACGGGUGCCAGCCGCCGCGGUAAUACCCGCAGCCCGAGUGGUGAUCGUUUUUAUUGGGCCUAAAGCGUCCGUAGCCUGCUCAGUAAAUCCUUGGGUAAAUCGGGCAGCUUAACUGUCCGAAUUCCGGGGAGACUGCUGAGCUUGGGACUGGGAGAGGUAGGAGGUACUCCGGGGGUAGAGGUGAAAUUUUGUAAUC